rnacentral:lncRNA from 1 species
GGUGGGGGUGGGGAGGGAGGGCCGGGGUGCUGAUGUCUGUCCUGGGGCCUUCGAGCCCCUUUCCGGGGUUCACUCUCUUGUCAGAAGGAUGUCUGAGAGGCGAGAGGCAGAGGGACUGAAGCUGCCGAAAUCGUAACUUAAAAAGGAGACUUCACCCCAGUUGUUGUGAAGCACCCAGAGAUGCCAAUAACAGAUUUGUCCUGGCCCUUCUUUUCAGUCUUCUUACUACCUUUUGAACUUAAACAAAAAAUCCCUGCACUGCCAAUUCCAGAACUGACUUCAGGAGAACAAAUGGGUCAAGUGUGCAUACUACACCCAUACCAGAACUGAGAAUUUAUAAAGGUUAAUUUGGAGUCACAGUCUGGAUUUUUGAUACUUGGAAGUAUUUGAAAGUAAUCUUGAAACCUUCAAGAGCACUUUGAGGGGAAGGCACUGACUGUCAAAGGAAGUCAUACAACUGCAAAGAUUGUGUUUGGUGGAUUUUUCUGUCAUGUGAUCUAGACUGGUCCAUUGCUGCAGCAGUUAUUCUAGCUCCAGCAUCACUGUCAUGACUGUGUCAGGAUAUUGACAAGGAGUCAGGCUAAGUCCAAGAAACCAUCACAUGAAGUGGAGACUUCAUCCCAGUCUGCCCAGAGGAACCAUCAGGACCCAGAGACGCCAAUAACAGAUUUGUCCUUGCCCUACUUUUCAAUCUUCCCAACUUUUUGAAACUACAAAACCACAGAAAUAUCCCUGAGUCUCUGCCAAUUCCAGAACUGACUGAAAGGAGGACAAAUGGGUCAGGGACUAUGAAAAAGAAUAUUCAGUCUAACCUGAGUCCAGUUGGGAGACCAUUAAUGAGAGCUUCUCUUCAAACUCCUUUUCUCAUUAUUCUUAUGCGUCCUUAUUAUCCAACAUGGAAAACUGACCAGUCAGAAGCAUCUCUUAUACCUGGGAUGAAAAUCUAAAAGCAGUGGUCGUUCCUUGGGAGAUUGAAACUUGAUCAGAGUCAGUCCAGAAGAGAAAUAAUUUGUGAUAUGCAAUUUGUGUCAGAGGUGGAUAACACCAUGCAAUAGAUUCUCUUACCCAAAGUGUAUCUACCAUUUGUCUGCUUACAGAGACUACCCAGAACCCUCUGGGAGAAUGGAAGAAGUGGAAGCACUGAGAUUCUCAAGGGAGACUCAAUAAAAAGUAAGACCUAAAACUCCCUUACA